rnacentral:rRNA from 1 species
CACGGGGGGAGCAAGCGUUGUUCGGAAUCACUGGGCGUAAAGGGCGUGUAGGCGGUCAAGUAAGUGGAAUGUGAAAUCCCCCGGCUUACCCGGGGACCGGCAUCCCAUACUGCUUGGCUUGAGUACGGGAGAGGAUGUGGGAAUUCCUGGUGUAGCGGUGAAAUGCGUAGAUAUCAGGAGGAACACCGGUGGCGAAGGCGCACAUCUGGCCCGAUACUGACGCUGAAGCGCGAAAGCGUGGGGAGCAAACAGG